GGAGGGUGCAAGCGUUAAUCGGAAUUACUGGGCGUAAAGCGCACGCAGGCGGUUGGAUAAGUUAGAUGUGAAAACCCCGGGCUCAACCUGGGAAUUGCAUUUAAAACUGUCCAGCUAGAGUCUUGUAGAGGGGGGUAGAAUUCCAGGUGUAGCGGUGAAAUGCGUAGAGAUCUGGAGGAAUACCGGUGGCGAAGGCGGCCCCCUGGACAAAGACUGACGCUCAGGUGCGAAAGCGUGGGGAGCAAACAGGAUUAGAUACCCUGGUAGUCCACGCCGUAAACGAUGUCGAUUUGGAGGCUGUGUCCUUGAGACGUGGCUUCCGGAGCUAACGCGUUAAAUCGACCGCCUGGGGAGUACGGCCGCAAGGUUA
rnacentral:rRNA from 1 species